GUAAAUUUGUGGUUUGGAGAGCCUGAUAUCCGAGGUGUCUCUGGAAAGAGGAUGGGGGGAGUGUUAAGCAAACGGGGAAAAGCAGAAAUACCUCACAUUCAGAGAGAGGAGAUAAACCACAUGAAACCAUCUGGAACUCCGACUACCACACCAUCAACAUUCACCAAAAUUUCCUAAAUUAGUCUGCACCAGCUGAAACCCAUCAUCAGGUUUCUACUGGAACAACAGCAGCAGACAUUUGAUAGAUUUCAAGUUUUCAUCUUGGUAUUGGCAGUUAGGAGGUUCGCUACGAGGCAGUGCUGAGGGUAUUUUAGGGUUUCUGUGCAUAUGAACAGGUGGCUCUGAGCUUGUGUAAACAAAAAUGUCGAGUUUGCAGGUGCAACAAGUGUUGCCAGUUGGCUAUACUCCCCUUGUUAAUGCUGGAGGAGCUGAAUCUUCAC